GAGAGCCGCGGGCUCGCUCACUGCCCGCCCGGCGCAGCGCCAGGGGCGGCCGGCGGCCGGAGGAGGCGCAGGAGGCGCAGGAGGGCGGCGGGACGCUGAGGCGUUUCGGCGCCCGCGGGAAGGAGGCGGUGGCGGACGCCGGGGCCGCCCCUCUCCCGCCCACUGCGGCCCGCCCAGGGCUCUGCCCGCCCGGCCGCCCGGGGCCGGCUCCGCAGCGGCGGCCGUAGCUGCAACCGCCGCCCGUUGCAGCGUCGCCGCUGAUGCCUCCUGCGGUGGCCCGGCAGGGAAGAUGGCGCCGUCCCACGUCCUCAAGUGUUGCCAGAAGGUGUUGGCCUGGGUGCCCGUGGCCUUCAUCGCCCUGGUCGUGGCCUGGUCCUACUACGCCUACGUGGUGGAGCUGUGUGUGUUUACUAUUUCUUCAACUGCAGAAAAAGUUGUCUACCUUGUGGUGUUUCAUCUGUCAUUUUUCAUGUUUGUAUGGUCCUAUUGGAAGACAAUUUUCACAUCUCCUGCAUCCCCCUCUAAUGAGUUCUGCUUGUCAAAAGCUGAUAAAGAACAAUAUGAAAAAGAAGAGAGACCAGAAUCCCAGCAGGAGAUUUUGAGAAGAGCUGCUAAAGACUUGCCUAUCUAUACGACAACAGCAUCAAGAGCAAUCAGAUACUGCGAUCGAUGCCAGCUAAUCAAACCUGACCGCUGCCACCACUGUUCUGCAUGUGACAUAUGUGUAUUAAAAAUGGACCACCACUGUCCGUGGGUGAAUAAUUGUGUUGGAUUUUCUAACUACAAAUUCUUCCUCCUGUUUUUAAUGUAUUCCUUACUGUACUGUCUGUUUGUUGCUGCUACAGUCUUGCAGUACUUCAUAAAGUUUUGGACACUUUGCCACAGGAAGGCUGCAGAGAAUUGUCCACAGAAUGAAUUGCCAGAUACCCAUGCAAAAUUCCACGUACUGUUCCUGUUCUUUGUGGCAGCCAUGUUCUUCAUCAGCAUACUGUCACUCUUCAGCUACCACUGCUGGCUAGUUGGCAAAAACAGAUCAACCAUAGAAACAUUCCGAGCACCCACAUUUCGAAAUGGCCCUGAUAAAAACGGGUUUUCUCUUGGAUGCAGCAAAAAUCUGAGGGAGGUUUUUGGAGAUGAAAAGAAGUAUUGGCUACUCCCUAUCUUUACCAGUUUGGGUGAUGGGUGUAACUUUCCAACUCGUCUGGUGAUUAUGGAUCCAGAGCAACUUACUGUCUCAAGCCAAAAUGAACCUGCCAAAAGCUCUGGAGCCAAUCAGUCCUUUCCUACUCGACCACUCAGUGAAUCACAAAACCGAUUGCUAGCCAGUGACAGUCAGUGGGUGGAAAGUGGCCCUGAAGAGGAAAAUGUUAAAUCAGGCCUAAAAAGUCCUUAGGAAUUGUUUGGAGUCAAGUAUAAGAAGAUUUGUUCCAUAGAAUCAAAUCAGCAUGUUUAGAAGUUAAGGCUAACUUGUGUCCCAUGCUCUGCUCCAAAACUAGCUAUUACACUAAGGUGCAAAAAAGCAUAUUAUAGUUUCAUUGGAAAGCUGAUCUCAGCUUAUUACUAACCAACCAUCUCAAUGAGAAACAGGUUUCUGCAACACAUUUUGUGCUUGAAUAUUACUUAAUUUUGUUUGGAAGAAGUUGGUCAGUAAAAAAUGGAACAUGAACAUUUUAGGAAGAGACAAGAAAUUCAAGUUUCUGCACAGUACAAUGGAUUCUUGUAAGCACUAUUGCGGAGCAGGGAGGUUAAGACAGAUGCCUUAAGAUUCUUACUGUGCAUUUAUGCAAGACUGAAUUAUAUCCUGCUACCAAAGGGCCAAAUCCUGAAGUGCCCUGCUUGGAUGCACAAGGUCCAGAGUGGGAACUAUGCAUUUCUGUUAUGCUGCAGUGGUGGGGGUAGAUUGCAGAGACUCCUACCUCCCCACGGGCAACCUUCAUACCUUAGGCACUGCAGAAGUCACUCCCAUAGCCGGUCUCCAGGGUACAGAAAGAAAGAAAAAAGGAAAAGAAGAAGAAAGAAAAACAAAAAAAAAAAAAAAAGGGGGGGGGGGGGGGGGGCAGGCAGGGGAAGAAAAAUCAACAUAGAGCACAGCCCGGUGAGUCUGAAGUGCAACUAUACAUAGUUCAGACACCAGGUGAUGGGGAAGGGACUGGAUGAUAUCUUCUCCCCUCUUCCUGUUAACCAGUCUACCCCAUGAUCAUAGCUCUCCAAGUCUUCCGGGACAGGAUUCUUUCUACUAGCUGUGCUUUGGAGCAAGGCAAUGCCAACAACAUAAGAGCCUUUUACCUGGGUGUUGCUUUUUUUUGCUGUAAGAUUGAGCUCCCCCCCCCUCCCCAUCAUUUUAAAUUGAUUUAAUCAUAUCAAGAACAAAGCUCAAAGAAGCAAACUCAGUUUUUAGUUGAAAAAGCGUGGAUUAUUACUUUCUAACACUUGUCUAUCGGCACACAAAGAAAAGCCAAUCCAAGAAGGCAUUAACAAAUGUUACAUUAUCUGUUAAUGUCUGCAGUGUUCUGUAUGAGGCAGUAAUAAAAUGGUAAAGUACCCCUGAGAAAAACCUUAUUGCAGUUGUGUGUUGUUAGAAAAUGGAGCUGGCAGAGUACUGCUUUUUCUAUGGGACUCUUGCUGAUUUAUAAAUACUGUUCUAUACUCUUGUUUUAUCUUUUUAAUAAAGGCACAAGUUUUUAUUGGUUCUAAAUUACCAUUCAAACAAUUAUCAAAUUUUUGCGAGAAAAUUAGUGUUGGAUCAUACAUCUGUGUUAACACACUGAAAAUGUGUAUGCUUUAGUCUGCCACUUCCAAGUCCAGUUUAAGUGAUGCUGAAAUUGCUAAGGACUGAGUGCUUUGUGCAGUGAUGUACCUGUUCACAAAAGGCAAAAUGUGUUUCCUUCUGUGAGGAAUAAAGUCCAUCCUAAGCUCGAGAUUUACAGCAAUCCACAUGGUUUGUUUCCCCCCCGCCCCACUCCUCUAUAGAGAAGACUGCUAACUCAUCUUUGGGUGGUAUUGGAAUUUUGCACCUGGAAAAAGGGACAAAUACUAUUUUCCUGUCUGUAACUUUUCUCAUGUUGAGCUGAAGCUGAUUACAAAGAGAUGUGAGCACUUUAGAUACAGACUGAAGGUAGUAGCAGAGUUGAUGAUCUGGACCAAAAGAAUGUUUGGUUUCUCUCCUGGACUGAUUGCUACUUAAGUCAAAUAUGUUCAUGCUGGACAUACUAAGGUACCAGGUAUACUGUAAGGUUGAAAACAAGUAUUUUUUUGUCUUGGGAGAGAAUAGAUUUUUCUUAGAUAUUAAUCUUCUGGAACAAGAACCCUAUGAAAACCUAUGAACGUGAUUUGGUCGCUAUUGGAUGUUGUUGAGACAGAAGUAAUGGCCCAAACUUGCGUGUUUUACAAAAGUUGCAGAAUGGUUCUUCAACCUUUGUACAAGAAAUUUUGCUUUUGCUAAUUUCAAAACUUACAAAAAUAUUUGCUACACAUUAAUCUGAAAGGUUUAGCUUUUUCUUCUCGAAGGUCAAUUGAGAAAUGUUGAUAUGAACAUAAGCUCUCAGCAGUACUGCACCAGCAAAAUUUUGUGAGGAAGACAACAGAGACAGAAGACUAAGUUCAGACAGCUCGUUCUGGAUACCGGACCCCAAAAACCGGUGGAACUGUAAUGGGGGGCCUGGGAGGUCAUCUGGCUUAUACUGCAUCAGUGUGUUACAGCUGAAUUAACACAUACAUCCACAGAUACCAUCCAGCAGAACUAUAAGCAAAACCUAUGUCUCUAAUCCAGCAAUAUGGUAUCUGUUCCCACCACCCCCACCCCUCAAAGUGCUUGAUAUUCCCUCAUAUGAAUGUGUGUAUAUAUACUGUAGGCUAACAUCAGUAUAACUUGUUUGAUUUCUUAAGUCAGGAUAGUUAACCUACAGGAAAAACUGUAAGUAAAUAGACUGGGCUAAUUCCAUGUGUGUUCUCUAGCAAGUGCUGGUCAUCUGAAACCAGUUCUUUGUGUAUCUGAUGGAUGUUUUUGUGGCUUUUCAUGAAGAGGUGAUGUUUCUGACAUCUUCAUGCAGAUCACGGGUAUGUUUUAUCCCAGGUUUUUCCUCAUGUUUCAGAUGAGAAAAGAAGGAGAGCAAUGUGCUUAAGAUACUCUUGAGGCCAGAGUGUGUAAAAGCAGGCGUUACUGAAAAGUCACUUUGACAAAUAUGAAACAUAGUAAAAUGAUCCAAAUAUGAUUAUUCCAAAUGUACCACUCCCAGUCCCUCCCCCUCUCCAGGGAACUGGUUGCUAAGAGAAACCCCAGGUGGAUGGAAAGGAAUUAAGUUCUCUAAGGGAAAUGGUAUUGAUGAGCAUUAAGGGAACACAGUGGGAUAGAAGGGCCAGGCUUUCCUGGCAGGCCCUGGCUGUGGAGGAGGGUGGCAGGACGAUGUCUUCUGUCUUUCAGAGUUCUGUCCUGAUGGCUCCCUAGCCAUAAGUAAGGGCGCUCUGUGCAGUACUAGAGAAUAGGAUAUGCAAAACGAGGGAGCAAGCCAGAAAUUUAAAAGGUGAUGAGGGCAAACAGCUGUUUGGCUGUUGAGUUGCAAGCCGACGUAGGUACUACUGCCAGCAGAGGCAGGGGGCUGUAGGGGUGCCCCAGGAAAUAGGUCCUUUUGGCCUGUGCGCUGGAGAGCUGAAAACUUCCCGUGAAUGCGAGAAGAGCAGCCCUACCUGUUCAGGAGGCCAGAUGGGAGGUGGAUCCUGAGACAACAACUGUUAAGGGUACUGGGUCAUGUUGUACACACUGGGUUUGUGCUUUAAUCUGCUCUGUAUCAGCAAGCUGUGAAAAUACUUAAGUUUGUCACUAAAAAUAACAGUCCUUAAGGUUUUAAAUCCAUCAAAACAAUUACUACUGCAAGCCAUAAAUAGUAGUUACUGUAGGAUAGUUGGCACUGGCUGCCAUUAGAAACUAUGCUUUAGUUUUUCUUACUGAUUUUUUUCUUUAAAAAAACCACACGUACACACAAGUCAUGCACAGAAAAUGACAUUAACCUCCCAGUGUGAGGACAGAAGCCUGACACAGGACAAGUUUUCAGUGUGAUUUCUCCUCAAGAUUUCUGAAAUGUCUUGAGAUGAUAAACCUGGGAAGAUAAGGCAGGGAGAUCCAUAAACAGAAGAUACUUAAAACUACACAGCUAAUACUGGGGGUUUUUCUUACAGUUAUUUAUUCAGUGUACAAUAUACGCAUUACUGCUUCUCCUAUGAAAGGUGUAUUAUGGGAAGAGGUUUCUGUUGUAACUGACUUCCUGCAGUAUUAUCCUGAGACUGCAGUGUAUCCUGAAAUGCAGUUAGAUGCAUCAUAAUAAGCCUUUGAUUAAAAACUUCCACUCUUAAGUAUUCAGAGGAUUAUUUUAGAGGGAAUUUUUUAGUGUUUUGAGUAGAAAUUAUGGUAACAUUUUUGUUAAAGCUGCCCCUUGAAUGUGAAAUUUCCAAGUACCAAGCAACUUCUGGUAUGCUGUUCUUAGAAACCGGUCCUGUUCUCCGGAGUGCUAAAUGCCUGCAGCGUUCAGGUACUGUUUCUUCCCUCAUUUCAGCUUUUGUGGCUCUUCUGUAUUGUAAAUAGUCUUUUGGGGUUGGGAGGCUUUAGUUAAGUUAAAUACCAUUUAAUAUGCGCUCAAAGAACUUCUUGAUCCAUCUGAAGUAUGGUCUGGUUGUAGCUUAACAGAGCCCCAAGAGGAGGAAAAAAAAACCGUUCUUGCGUUAGUGUCUGGCAGAUUUACCAAGAGAUGCAUUGACUCCGACGUAGAAUAACCAGAUCCGCCUAGAUGUGGAGCACUGACUGACCAUAUUUUUGAAAAUGAAAAAAACCAAACCACACAACUUCUUGGCAUAUGUUCUCUGAGGACACUGUCUAAAAUUGUAUAUAUAUAGGGGAUUCAGGUCUGGGUUUACAGAGGCUCCAAAUAGCGGCUACUUAAACUCAGUGCAGACCAAGAACGCAUCUUUCACGGUACCUAACAAAUAGCUAGGUAUGUAACAUCAGAGGCUCUUCUGUCCCUAAAUGGCACCAAAGAGAGCAGCGACAUAUAAAGAAGUGAUUUAAUACUGAACACAUUUACUAUACUCAUUUCUAUCAAUUUAUUUUGUAUAUAUAGACAGCUUUCUAUAUGCAUUUUUCUUAAUUACGUAACCGUAACCAUCGUGAAACGUCAUGAAGCUGCAAAUUGCCAUUAGUUUUAAUGCUGAUUAAAACUGGUGUUUGGCUGUUUGUUUUCUGCAGCAAUUACUUGAAUCUUGUUUCCAUUAGGUAGUGAAGUCUGAUGAUGUUUACAGAACUGCUUUCUUUGGUUUGGGGGGUUCCCAUCUUUCUCCUAUCCCCUGCCCCAAGAAACAGAGAGCGCAUCCUCAGCUCAGUAUGUUGGGGAUGAAGUAUUGGGAUCCCCUUUAUUGGCACCAAAGCAUUAAUGGUGAUGUGCAGAUUCCCUUCAGUUUCCAUUGCUUAGCUGACAGUUCAUGUGCUUAGCGUGUUCCUCUCCAGUUCCUCCUCUUCCUUGACCUGUUGCUGUUACCAGCUUUACUGUGAGAAACUGAAAUCUUUCUGAAUGACAAUUUACAAUCAAAGCUAUCACAGAAAGAGGCAGCGUUCCUGCUGUUAAAUCUGCCCCCUCUCCCUGUUCCCUCUUCAAAUUAAAUGAAUGAAACCUCCCUGGGUUAUCUCUGCAAUUAUUUUUGUGUUUGCCAGCAAGGGUCAUCAACAUUUGCACUUAUCACAAUGUCCCAGCUGUUCUACUUCCACAGUUAUUUUUAAUUGUGCUGCCUAAACUUGUAAUGAGCUGUAUUUAAGUUUGAGGUGAAUUGUAAAAGAUAUAUGUAAUAAUGACACAGUUAUUGUAUUUUUUUGUAUGUUACAGAUAGGACUAGUCCUAUGCACAGAGAAAACACAUUGCCAUGUAUAGUUUAAUACUUGAAGUAACUUUUUAAAAUGGGCUUUUAUAAAUGAACUAAAUACAAAAUCACAUUGCUUUGCCUGGCACUUCCUUCAUGUUUUAAUUGUAUUGUGCAACUUCCCCAUACCUAUACUUUUCCGUAAAUGUUAUCUUAAGCCAUUUAUAACCAUUGAAAGUGCAUUCAAGGUUUUGUACAUCAGUGUUCAGACCUGUUCAUACUUCUCUGAAGUAUGGUUCAUGUUUAAAUAAAAACCUUGUUACCA